GACGAACGCUGGCGGCGCGCUUAACACAUGCAAGUCGAGCGAGAACCAGCCCUUCGGGGCUGGGGACAGCGGCGAACGGGUGAGUAACACGUGGGUAAUCUGCCCUCGGCACCGGGAUAGCCCGGGGAAACCCGGAUUAAUACCGGAUGGCCUUUCGAGCCCUCGGGCUUGAGAGAAAAGGUAGCUUUGGCCUCUGGCCGAGGAUGAGCCCGCGGCCGAUUAGCUUGUUGUGAGGUAANGGCCCACCAAGGCGACGAUCGGUAGCUGGUCUGAGAGGACGAUCAGCCACACUGGGACUGAGAC
rnacentral:rRNA from 1 species